rnacentral:lncRNA from 1 species
GACCAUUCUGUCACAAUGAGACAGAGCACAGUGAACACCCUUGGAAUGCAAAUGAGUUCCCUCUUGAGAAAGCUAGUCUGAUUGACUAAAGACCAUUAUCACGAACCCUGGAUCUGUUUGUGGCAACAGUGGACCCAGCUGCAGGUGGCAUACAGGAUUUCCCAACCUCCAUGGCAGCUGAGGGUGAUGAAAGAGGAGGUCGCUAUUGAAGAAAAUGGAGGAGGAAAUCACCCAGCUGGCAGAACCUGAGCUACCAGAUCGGCCAAUUAAAGAACUCAAUAUACUGCCAGGGAAAUGAUUCAACGCAUAGAUGCCAAUGAGACCUAGUAACUUACCAGCUGCCAGAUGUGUCGAUGUCAUUUAAUUCUUAUGCCACCUCUAUGAGGUUGAAUAUUACCUUUAAGGAAACAACAGCGGGGGCCGGCCCCUUGGCACAGUGGUAAAGUUCGCAUGCUCUGCUUUGGUGGCCUGGGGUUUCGCCGGUUUGGAUCCUGGGCAUGGACACAGCACCGCUCAUCAGGCCACGCUGAGGUGGUGUCCCACAUGCCACAACUAGAAGGACCCACAACCAAAAUAUGCAACUAUGUACUGGGGGGAUUUGGGGAGAAAAAGCAGAAAUAAAAAAAAAUAAGAUUGGC